rnacentral:rRNA from 1 species
GGCAGCGCGGGGCAACCUGGCGGCGAGUGGCGAACGGGUGAGUAAUAUAUCGGAACGUACCCAAGAGUGGGGGAUAACGUAGCGAAAGUUACGCUAAUACCGCAUACGAUCCAAGGAUGAAAGCAGGGGACCGCAAGGCCUUGUGCUCCUGGAGCGGCCGAUAUCUGAUUAGCUAGUUGGUGAGGUAAAGGCUCACCAAGGCGACGAUCAGUAGCUGGUCUGAGAGGACGACCAGCCACACUGGAACUGAGACACGGUCCAGACUCCUACGGGAGGCAGCAGUGGGGAAUUUUGGACAAUGGGCGCAAGCCUGAUCCAGCAAUGCCGCGUGAGUGAAGAAGGCCUUCGGGUUGUAAAGCUCUUUUGUCAGGGAAGAAACGGCUGUGGCUAAUAUCCACGGCUAAUGACGGUACCUGAAGAAUAAGCACCGGCUAACUACGUGCCAGCAGCCGCGGUAAUACGUAGGGUGCAAGCGUUAAUCGGAAUUACUGGGCGUAAAGCGUGCGCAGGCGGUUUUGUAAGUCUGACGUGAAAUCCCCGGGCUCAACCUGGGAAUUGCGUUGGAGACUGCAAGGCUGGAGUCUGGCAGAGGGGGGUAGAAUUCCACGUGUAGCAGUGAAAUGCGUAGAGAUGUGGAGGAACACCGAUGGCGAAGGCAGCCCCCUGGGUCAAGACUGACGCUCAUGCACGAAAGCGUGGGGAGCAAACAGGAUUAGAUACCCUGGUAGUCCACGCCCUAAACGAUGUCUACUAGUUGUCG